AUACGGAGGGUGCGAGCGUUAAUCGGAAUUACUGGGCGUAAAGCGCGCGUAGGCGGUUUGUUAAGUCGGAUGUGAAAUCCCCGGGCUCAACCUGGGACCUGCAUCCGAUACUGGCAGGCUAGAGUCUGGUAGAGGGGGGUAGAAUUCCUGGUGUAGCGGUGAAAUGCGUAGAUAUCAGGAGGAAUACCAGUGGCGAAGGCGGCCCCCUGGACUGAGACUGACGCUGAGGUGCGAAAGCGUGGGGAGCAAACAGGAUUAGAAACCCCGGUAGUCC
rnacentral:rRNA from 1 species